rnacentral:rRNA from 1 species
UACGUAGGGGGCAAGCGUUGUCCGGAUUCAUUGGGCGUAAAGAGCUCGUAGGCGGUGUGUCGCGUCGGCCGUGAAAACCUGCAGCUUAACUGUGGGCUUGCGGUCGAUACGGGCAUCACUGGAGUUCGGCAGGGGAGACUAGAAUUCCUGGUGUAGCGGUGAAAUGCGCAGAUAUCAGGAGGACACCAGUGGCGAAGGCGGCUCACUGGCCCGAUACUGACGCUGAGGCACGAAAGCGUGGGGAGCAAACAGG